rnacentral:rRNA from 1 species
GACGAACGCUGGCGGCGUGCUUAACACAUGCAAGUCGAACGGAAAGGCCCUGCUUUUGUGGGGUGCUCGAGUGGCGAACGGGUGAGUAACACGUGAGUAACCUGCCCUUGACUUUGGGAUAACUUCAGGAAACUGGGGCUAAUACCGGAUAGGAGCUCCUGCUGCAUGGUGGGGGUUGGAAAGUUUCGGCGGUUGGGGAUGGACUCGCGGCUUAUCAGCUUGUUGGUGGGGUAGUGGCUUACCAAGGCUUUGACGGGUAGCCGGCCUGAGAGGGUGACCGGCCACAUUGGGACUGAGGUACGGCCCAGACUCCUACGGGAGGCAGCAGUGGGGAAUAUUGCACAAUGGGCGGAAGCCUGAUGCAGCAACGCCGCGUGCGGGAUGACGGCCUUCGGGUUGUAAACCGCUUUCGCCUGUGACGAAGCGUGAGUGACGAUAAUGGGUAAAGAAGCACCGGCUAACUACGUG